rnacentral:tRNA from 1 species
ACUAUUUUGGCAGAUAAGUGUAUUAGAUUUAGAAUCUAUAAAUGUAAUAUUAAAUUACAAAUAGUA